AUAAGUAACAGGUCGUAGACCCGAAACCAGGUGAUCUACCCAUGUCCAGGAUGAAGGUAAGGUAAUACUUACUGGAGGUCCGAACCCACGCACGUUGAAAAGUGCGGGGAUGAGGUGUGGGUAGCGGAGAAAUUCCAAUCGAACUUGGAGAUAGCUGGUUCUCUCCGAAAUAGCUUUAGGGCUAGCCUCGAGGUAAAGAGUCAUGGAGGUAGAGCACUGUUUGGACUAGGGGCCCUUCUCGGGUUACCGAAUUCAGAUAAACUCCGAAUGCCAUGUACUUAUACUCGGGAGUCAGACUGCGAGUGAUAAGAUCCGUAGUCGAAAGGGAAACAGCCCAGACCACCAGUUAAGGUCCCAAAAUAUAUGUUAAGUGGAAAAGGAUGUGGGGUUGCUUAGACAACCAGGAUGUUGGCUUAGAAGCAGCCACCAUUGAAAGAGUGCGUAAUAGCUCACUGGUCGAGUGACCCCGCGCCGAAAAUGUACCGGGGCUAAACAUAUUACCGAAACUGUGGAUGAACCUCAUUAGAGGUUCGUGGUAGGAGAGCGUUCUAAGGGCGGUGAAGUCAGACCGGAAGGACUGGUGGAGCGCUUAGAAGUGAGAAUGCCGGUAUGAGUAGCGAAAGAAGGGUGAGAAUCCCUUCCACCGAAUAUCUAAGGUUUCCUGAGGAAGGCUCGUCCGCUCAGGGUUAGUCGGGACCUAAGCCGAGGCCGAUAGGCGUAGGCGAUGGACAACAGGUAGAGAUUCCUGUACCAGUGCUAAUUGUUUAACCGAUGGGGUGACACAGAAGGAUAGGGAAUCGCACGAAUGGAAAUGUGCGUCCAAGCAGUGAGUGUGAGAAGUAGGCAAAUCCGCUUCUCGCGAAGCAUGAGCUGUGAUGGGGAAGGAAAUUAAGUACGGAAGUUCCUGAUUUCACGCUGUCAAGAAAAGCCUCUAGGAAGAGUAGUACUGCCCGUACCGCAAACCGACACAGGUAGAUGAGGAGAGAAUCCUAAGGUGAGCGAGAGAACUCUCGUUAAGGAACUCGGCAAAAUGACCCCGUAACUUCGGGAGAAGGGGUGCUCUAUUAGGGUGCAAGCCCGAGAGAGCCGCAGUGAAUAGGCCCAGGCGACUGUUUAGCAAAAACACAGGUCUCUGCAAAACCGUAAGGUGACGUAUAGGGGCUGACGCCUGCCCGGUGCUGGAAGGUUAAGAGGAGUGCUUAGCUUCGGCGAAGGUACGAAUUGAAGCCCCAGUAAACGGCGGCCGUAACUAUAACGGUCCUAAGGUAGCGAAAUUCCUUGUCGGGUAAGUUCCGACCCGCACGAAAGGCGCAACGAUCUGGGCACUGUCUCAACGAGAGACUCGGUGAAAUUAUAGUACCUGUGAAGAUGCAGGUUACCCGCGACAGGACGGAAAGACCCCGUGGAGCUUUACUGCAACCUGAUAUGGAAUGUUUGUACCGCUUGUACAGGAUAGGUAGGAGCCGAAGAGACGUGUGCGCUAGCAUACGAGGAGGCAAUGGUGGGAUACUACCCUGGCUGUAUGACCAUUCUAACCCGCCACGCUUAGCGCGUGGGGAGACAGUGUCAGGUGGGCAGUUUGACUGGGGCGGUCGCCUCCUAAAGAGUAACGGAGGCGCCCAAAGGUUCCCUCAGAAUGGAUGGAAAUCAUUCGCAGAGUGUAAAGGCACAAGGGAGCUUGACUGCGAGACUGACAAGUCGAGCAGGGACGAAAGUCGGGCUUAGUGAUCCGGUGGUUCCGCAUGGAAGGGCCAUCGCUCAACGGAUAAAAGCUACCCCGGGGAUAACAGGCUUAUCUCCCCCAAGAGUCCACAUCGACGGGGAGGUUUGGCACCUCGAUGUCGGCUCGUCGCAUCCUGGGGCUGUAGUCGGUCCCAAGGGUUGGGCUGUUCGCCCAUUAAAGCGGCACGCGAGCUGGGUUCAGAACGUCGUGAGACAGUUCGGUCCCUAUCCGUCGCGGGCGCAGGAAAUUUGAGAGGAGCUGUCCUUAGUACGAGAGGACCGGGAUGGACACACCGCUGGUGUACCAGUUGUUCCGCCAGGAGCAUCGCUGGGUAGCUAUGUGUGGCAGGGAUAAACGCUGAAAGCAUCUAAGCGUGAAGCCCCCCUCAAGAUGAGAUUUCCCAUUUCUUCGGAAAGUAAGAUCCCUGAAAGAUGAUCAGGUAGAUAGGUUUGGAGUGGAAGUGUAGCGAUACAUGGAGCGGACAAAUACUAAUCGAUCGAGGACUUAACCAA
rnacentral:rRNA from 1 species